GACGAACGCUGGCGGCGUGCUUAACACAUGCCAGUCGAACGGUGAAGCGCCUUCCUUUUUGGUGGGUGUGGAUGAGUGGCGAACGGGUGAGUAACACGUGAGUAACCUGCCCCCUUCUUCUGGAUAACCGCAUGAAAGUGUGGCUAAUACGGGAUAUUCUGGGUCUGUCGCAUGAUGGGUCUGGGAAAGAUAUUGUUUCGGUGGGGGAUGGGCUCGCGGCCUAUCAGCUUGUUGGUGGGGUGAUGGCCUACCAAGGCGGUGACGGGUAGCCGGCCUGAGAGGGUGGACGGUCACACUGGGACUGAGACACGGCCCAGACUCCUACGGGAGGCAGCAGUGGGGAAUAUUGCACAAUGGGCGCAAGCCUGAUGCAGCGACGCCGCGUGAGGGAUGGAGGCCUUCGGGUUGUGAACCUCUUUCGCCAGUGAAGCAGGCCUGCCUCGUUUGUGGGCGGGUUGACGGUAGCUGGAGAAGAAGCGCCGGCUAACUACGUG
rnacentral:rRNA from 1 species